rnacentral:piRNA from 1 species
UAGAGGAUAGCACACACAGGGGACAC